GUAAACAAGCGAUCCCGUACGAAGCUAUCGUCACUAAUUUUUUUGUGCGGGGUAAAAUUUUAUUUUCUUCUUUUUAUACCCAAUAUUCUGUAAAAUAAUAAAAAUGGAGGUAACCAUGAACUAAAUUGGCCUUCAGAGUCUUCACGGACGCUUAUGGAUCAGGGUGGUUCGUUUAGGCAUCGCUUGUGCCGCUGUUUUUGGGAGAAGGUGCCCUUGAUAGCUGAGUGUUUAAAAGUAGACUGGCGUCAUCAUGUUGGACAUUUCUCCAAUUAAUCGUAUCCAGUUGAAGGAGCUAAACAGUCGUCUGUGUAGCGCCAUCAACAAGGAACGCCAGUCAUGGAAACCUCUACUCAUCAAGGACCCUCAGGAUAUUGAGGCUGAGAUAGGGCCCAGUCAGCGAGAUGAAAUGGUGCAGUGGUUGCUGGAGUUGAACAUCAAGUUCCGCUUCUGUCCCGAGACAUACAUGCUGAGUGUUACCCUGCUUGAUCAGUUCCUUAUGGCUGUGAAGGUAAAUAAAAUCUCUCAAAAUUUAUUUUGAAGAAAACCAUAAAAUCUGUCUACAUUGCUGUUAAGCCUUUUAUUAAUGAAGAAAACAUGAAAUUGCUUCUUAAAUGUUUUGAUUUAAUUUGAUUGAUAAAGCAUGCAUAAUGAUUCAUAUAAUAUAUUUUAAAGGGUUUAAUGGCUCCAUGCCAUACAUGUAAGACAUCAGUUUCAAGUGUUCAUGUUUUUAAUGAACAAUGUUGACAUCCCUCUUAGGAUUAUGAGCAGAAUUAUUUGGCAUGCAUUCAGAACUUGUGAGAGGAUACUUGGCAAACUAGGCCAAUAUGAUUUCAGGCAUUAGUAUUCAUAGAGGAUUUAUAGGACAAAUAUUACACACAUACAUCACAAAGUACUUGCCAAUAAAUUAGGUAAUUAAUCUUAUGAUUUGUUUUGAAGGAUGCUUGCUUUUAAUAGACUGGUGGUCUGGAUGAUGAAAUUACUCGAAAUUCAAUAAUGAUUUCACCAUCCAUUCAAUCAGGUUUCAUGUAAAGCUAUUUUAUAUUUUUUGUACGUCAUGUCUACUGAGGUGAGCUACUUUGAAAAUGCUCACCUUCAAUAAAUGACCCCAUAUCAAGUAUCGCUUUCAUUUCCCAAUUGCAGUAGGCUUAAGUUAUACAUAAUUUGUUUUAUAUACUGUACAUGUAAUGCUGAAUUAGGUAUGACUGUGGAUGAGAAUAGGCUUAUUGACCCUGUCCAAUUCUAUUGGGAAAGUUGUGGUAAUUGACGAGUUGCCUGAUUUAGCCUCAGGUUUCUUUUAGUCAUGUAAGUCAGUGGGUUUCCCCCUAAAUAGGCCUUCACCCAGGUCACUAUCACUGACAACAGGUUUCUUAAAUUAGAUGGAUGUGACUCAGAUAUCUGGGGCAGUCAUCACUGUGAUAACAAUCAUCAUCAAAUGUCCCCCCAGCAGAGGGGAAUGAUAUGCGUAAGAUGUAGGGGCAACUGUCAAUAGAGACACUGCUUGUACACUAUACAUACUGUACGUGUCUGUAUUUUGCUUGCUAUAAAAAUAUGGAGAUGCUGUGUACAAUGUAUUUAUUGUACAGUAACUGUACAUGGCAUUAAAUACCUUUGUGUGCAAAGUGCAGGGUAAUUACAUGUAUACUACUUCAGUAGUCCUACAUGUGUAUAUCUCCAUGGACAAUUCAAUAUGAUUUUGGUUUUGCAUCAUUUCCCAGGGCUUUGAGAAAAAAAUGAUGUUUAUAUGUUGAUCAUAAAUAAACAAAAUGUAUUUUCCAUACAAAAGAUAGAAAGUCAGACAUAUUUUAUCUGUUCAUGUAAAAAAAAGUAAAUUCAUGUAUACAUACAUGUACAUAAUGUAGAAACUAAAACACAUACAUGUACAUUGUACUAUAGUCUGUAGAUGAUUCAGAACUUGGUUUUGGUUUCCUUUAAGGAUUGAGUCCACAGGCACAGUGUAAUAAUGAAAACAAAGUUAAUUGCUACUUUUAACACUUUAUUAGAAGUCUAUUUACAAAAGUGCAGUGUUCACAUUAUCUUGGCUUUAGUAGUCCCCAGUUGUCAGUUGACUUUCUCAUUGAUCAUACAUACAUACGUGUACAUUAGGCUACUUGUAGUACACAAGAAUGGAAAGCGCAAAGGGAUUGAACUUGCAUUGUAUUGACUCCAGUCCUAAAAUGCAGUGAACCAUAUCAGGGUGGGGUUCAAAAAGAAGCCAACAAGGCAGCAAGUGAGUGUAUCAACUGUAUCCAAUAUCUUUUCUAUUCAAGAUUCCUCACUACAUGUAUAUGGUCUUCCGAACUGGGACAUUUCAUUUUGGGGUUCAAUUUAUACUGAUUAUGAUGAACAAUUCUAUGUUACAUUUUGUUGUUCAUUAGUCCUUUAUUCCACUCACUGGAUUUCUUGCUUGUUUUUUUUAUUUUUUUCAUUUGGAGUCCUACAUUUAUUAAACUCUUCAAUACGGAACAUAAUUCAAGAAAAAAACAAAAACUGACUCGUAAUCUACAUGUAUAGGUGAUAAACUGUAGUCACUCAAAAGUGCAUUUACAGUGCUGGGUGUGAAAUAGAUUUAUUUUGAUUUUGUGUUUGGGAAAUGGAAAUCCAUUCUUAAUUAAAAAUCGGAAACUAUUCUUACAUGUAUAUCCAACAUCUGUGCAUGAAACACAUAAGAUUUUUUGUUGCAUUUUAAUAGCCGUCAACUUUCUUUAUGGUCGAUGAUUUAGACCAAAAUGAAUUAACUACUACGAUGAAUAUGAUCAACAUGUACAUUGUAUGAUGUAGAUCAUGUGUUGAAUUACCUCAGAAAAUAGCCGACAACUUUCUUUAUGGUCGAUGAUUUAGACCAAAAUGAUACGAUGAAUAUGAUAGACAGGUACAUUGUAUGAUGUAGAUCAUGUGUUGAAUUACCUCAGAAAAUAGUUGUUUCUUUAAUUAUGAAAUGGAUAAUGGAAGUUCUGGAUCUGAGACUUAUACUUUUCUUAAAUCAAGUAAUAAGUUUGGCAGUUGACUCUUAGUUAGAAUUGAAAAAAAAGAGGGGGGGGGGGGGUAUUAUUAGAAGUCACUGGAAAGUGAGAACAUGAAGUACAUGUAUAUUUAAUGUAAACAGAAAUCUCAUUCUUAAAUUGCAAGACUGUCAGGACUGUAAUCUUUAAGAAUGAGUACUUGUGCUGGCCUGCACAUACAUGUAGGCCUACAUACAACUCUGAUGCAAUCAUGCAAAAUCAGUAAGCUAAACUCUGCCAUAAUUGCAAAAGCUUUAUUUCUCUCAAAUGUUGCAACAUGCAUGUACAUGUGUAGGUCAACUUAGUGAUAUUCUAGAUUUAUAUUU